rfam:Gasterosteus aculeatus cont1.005360, whole genome shotgun sequence.
UUUAAAGUGUAAUGUAAGUCGCUUUGGAUAAAAGCGUCUGCUAAAUGACAUGAC